UACGGGGGGGGUAAGCGUUGUUCGGAAUUACUGGGCGUAAAGGGCUCGUAGGCGGCCAACUAAGUCAUACGUGAAAUCCCUCAGCUUAACUGGGGAACUGCGUGUGAUACUGGGUGGCUUGGAUUUGGGAGAGGGAUGCGGAAUUCCAGGUGUAGCGGUGAAAUGCGUAGAUAUCUGGAGGAACACCGGUGGCGAAGGCGGCAUCCUGGACCAAUAUUGACGCUGAGGAGCG
rnacentral:rRNA from 1 species